AAGUCGUAACAAGGUCUCCGUAGGUGAACCUGUGGAGGGAUCAUUAACACGAUGAGAGACACCUAAAAAAUGUCUCCCAUUCUCCACCCAACGUGAACUCGGUUGCUCGAUUGACUUGUCAUUCGUUCAACCAUUCCUCCCUUAGUCUGUUGUUGAACUGUUGGAAUCCGAUGUGUAGUGGGCCAAUUGCUGGCCAUCUGUUCCAACUAGUAGAGCUCGACUCUACGGUUCUCAACGACUUAGGCAAUUCUUCAUUUCAGCCACUACAGGAAUAACCCUAUUCACCCUUCAUAUAUUUUAAUGACUGAUCCAAGAGUGAUAUAAACGCAAGUUUGUAACUCUCUCUAAGAUACGAUAAACUAAGCACAACUCUUAGCAACGGAUAUCUUGGUUCUC
rnacentral:misc_RNA from 1 species